GACGAACGCUGGCGGCGUGCCUAAUACAUGCAAGUAGGACGCAGUUGCGAACGGGUGAGUAACGCGUAGGUAACUACCUAUUAGAGGGGGAUAACUAUUGGUAACGAUAGCUAAUACCGCAUACUAGUAGAUGGACCUGCGUUUUAUUAGCUAGUAGGUAGGGUAAUGGCCUACCUAGGCAACGAUACAUAGCCGAGCUGGAAGGGGGAACGGGCAAAAUGGGACUGAGACACGGGUCCGACUCCUAAGGGGGGCAGCAGUAGGGAAUCUUCGGAAAUGGGGGGAACCCUGAACGAGCAACGCCGCGUGAGUGAAGAAGGUUUUCGGAUCGUAAAGCUCUGUUGUUAAGGAAGCGGUACUUAACCAGAAAGGGACGGCUAACUACGUGCCAGCAGCCGCGGUAAUAC
rnacentral:rRNA from 1 species